UACGUAGGGGGCAAGCGUUGUCCGGAAUCAUUGGGCGUAAAGCGCGCGUAGGCGCCAGACAAGUCCGGUGUGAAAGUCACAGGCUCAACCUGUGAAUGCCGCUGGAAACUGUCUGGCUAGAGUCCGGAAGGGGCGAGUGGAAUUCCUGGUGUAGCGGUGAAAUGCGCAGAUAUCAGGAGGAACACCUAUGGCGAAGGCAGCUCGCUGGGACGGUACUGACGCUGAGGCGCGAAAGCGUGGGGAGCGAACAGGAUAGAAACCCCCUG
rnacentral:rRNA from 1 species